UACGAAGGGGGCUAGCGUUGCUCGGAAUUACUGGGCGUAAAGCGCACGUAGGCGGCUUUCUAAGUCGGGGGUGAAAUCCUGGAGCUCAACUCCAGAACUGCCUUCGAUACUGGAGAGCUUGAGUCCGGGAGAGGUGAGUGGAACUGCGAGUGUAGAGGUGAAAUUCGUAGAUAUUCGCAAGAACACCAGUGGCGAAGGCGGCUGACUGGACAUGUAUUGACGCUGAGGUGCGAAAGCGUGGGGAGCAAACAGGG
rnacentral:rRNA from 1 species